GACGAACGCUGGCGGCGUGCCUAAUACAUGCAAGUCGAACGAGAGCGACCGGUGCUUGCACUGGUCAAUCUAGUGGCGAACGGGUGAGUAACACGUGGGUAACCUGCCCAUCAGAGGGGGAUAACAUCCGGAAACGGAUGCUAAAACUGCAUAGGUCUUCGAACCGCAUGGUUUGAAGAGGAAAAGAGGCGCAAGCUUCUGCUGAUGGAUGGACCCGCGGUGCAUUAGCUAGUUGGUGAGGUAACGGCUCACCAAGGCCGUGAUGCAUAGCCGACCUGAGAGGGUGAUCGGCCACAUUGGGACUGAGACACGGCCCAAACUCCUACGGGAGGCAGCAGUAGGGAAUCUUCCGCAAUGGACGCAAGUCUGACGGAGCAACGCCGCGUGAGUGAAGAAGGUUUUCGGAUCGUAAAACUCUGUUGUUAGAGAAGAACAAGUGCUAGAGUAACUGUUAGCGCCUUGACGGUAUCUAACCAGAAAGCCACGGCUAACUACGUG
rnacentral:rRNA from 1 species